CCUACGGGAGGCAGCAGUGGGGAAUAUUGCGCAAUGGGGGAAACCCUGACGCAGCAACGCCGCGUGAGUGAGGAAGGACUUCGGUCUGUAAAGCUCUGUUAAUGUGGAAAAAUGGUAGUUGGUCUAAUAGGCCGAUUAUUUGAUGGUACACAUAGAGGAAGCACCGGCUAACUUCGUGCCAGCAGCCGCGGUAAUACGAAGGGUGCAAGCGUUGUUCGGAUUUAUUGGGCGUAAAGCGCGCGUAGGCGGACCUGCAAGUCAGAUGUGAAAUCUCGGGGCGUCAACCUCGAAACUGCGUCUGAAACUACAGGUCUAGAAUCUUGGAGGGGGAAGGGGGAAUUUCGCAUGUAGGGGUAAAAGUCCGUAGAUAUGCGAAGGAACACCAGAGGCGAAGGCGCCUUCCUGGACAAGUAUUGACGACUGAGGCGCGAAAGCGUGGGGAUCAAACAGGAUUAGAUACCCUGGUAGUCCACGCUGUAAACGAAUGAAUACUAGAUAUUGACAGGAUUUACGACCCCUGCAGUGUCGUAGCUAACGCGUUAAGUAUUCCNCCUGGAAGUACGGUCGCAAGACUAAAACCGUACAAAUGAAAUUGACGG
rnacentral:rRNA from 1 species